UACGAAGGGGGCUAGCGUUGCUCGGAAUCACUGGGCGUAAAGGGUGCGUAGGUGGCCAGGUAAGUUUGGUGUGAAAGCUCGGAGCUUAACUCCGAAAAGUCAUUGAAUACUAUCUGGCUGGAGGGUCGGAGGGGAGACUGGAAUUCUCGGUGUAGCAGUGAAAUGCGUAGAUAUCGAGAGGAACACCAGUGGCGAAGGCGAGUCUCUGGACGACUCCUGACACUGAGGCACGAAAGCCGGGGGAGCAAACAGG
rnacentral:rRNA from 1 species